rnacentral:tRNA from 1 species
UGCGGGGUGGAGCAGCGGUAGCUCGUUGGGCUCAUAACCCAAAGGUCGGAGGUUCGAUUCCUUCCCCCGCUA